rnacentral:rRNA from 1 species
AUGCUUUCGUUCCUCAGUGUCAGUAAUGAUCCAGAAAGCUGCCUUCGCAAUUGGUAUUCUUUCUAAUAUCUACGAAUUUCACCUCUACACUAGAAAUUCUGCUUUCCUCUAUCAUACUCUAGCUGAAAAGUUUUGAUGGCAGUCCCAGAGUUAAGCUCUGGGAUUUCACCACCAACUUUUUCAACCACCUACGAACUCUUUAAGCCCAGUAAUUCCGAACUACGCUAGGUCCCUUCGUAUUACCGCGGCUGCUGGCACGAAGUUAGCCGGACCUUCUUAUUCGGGUACAGUCAUUUUCUUCCCCGACGAAAGAGCUUUACAACCCAAAGGCCUUCUUCACUCACGCGGCAUCGCUGCAUCAGAGUUUCCUCCAUUGUGCAAGAUUCCCCACUGCUGCCUCCCGUAGGAGUUUGGGCCGUGUCUCAGUCCCAAUGUGGCUGAUCAUCCUCUCAAAUCAGCUAUUGAUCAUAGUCUUGGUAGGCCAUUACCCUACCAACAAACU